rnacentral:rRNA from 1 species
UGGGGAAUCUUGGACAAUGGGCGCAAGCCUGAUCCAGCCAUGCCGCGUGAGUGAAGAAGGCCUUAGUGUUGUAAAGCUCUUUUGCCAGGGACGAUAAUGACGGUACCUGGAGAAUAAGCCCCGGCAAACUUCGUGCCAGCAGCCGCGGUAAUACGAAGGGGGCUAGCGUUGUUCGGAUUUACUGGGCGUAAAGCGCACGUAGGCGGGUCGUUAAGUCAGGGGUGAAAUCCCGGGGCUCAACUCCGGAACUGCCUUUGAUACUGGCGACCUUGAGGCUGGAAGAGGUUAGUGGAAUUCCCAGUGUAGAGGUGAAAUUCGUAGAUAUUGGGAAGAACACCAGUGGCGAAGGCGGCUAACUGGUCCAGAUCUGCCGCUGAGGUGCGAAAGCGUGGGGAGCAAACA